GGCCUAUUGGGACUGCGGUAUUAUAACUAUACACGUGUUGAAAGUAUUUAAUAGGUUAAAUGUUUUUCAUUGGUCGAGUUAGAACUGACCAUAAUAUUUGAAUAAGGUCAAUUCAAAUAUUUCGUGCUAUACUUUUUGCGGUUGUGCGAAUUUAAGAUAUUGUCAUUCGAGGUUCGCUUUUGGUGCAGUAACGUUUCCCACCCUCCCACCCCACUUGAUGUAGUUUUCUUAUGUUAUUUUUGUUUCUUGUGAAUAAUGUGUGUAAAAAAUAGAAUCUUUAAAUUGAUUCAUAAUAUGUCUUUGAGUACAUAAUGAUAAUU
rnacentral:lncRNA from 1 species